ACAAAUCAAAAGCGGGGAGAUUACCGGUCAAUAGUUCGUCGGUACGGACUGAUUCUUCUUUGUUCGUAAUUAACGAUAAGGGGUUAAUUGAUUUUCAUCGAUUUUCGCAAUGCUUUGGAAGGCAGUCAUUUCCUCUUUGCUAAUAAUCCUUUUUUAUGGUGCAACGCAAACCAAUGGCGAAAAAUAUCCUGUAGUAAUGUGGCAUGGAAUGGGAGACACCUGCUGUUUCCCAUUUAGCCUGGGUUCCAUUAAGAAGCUAUUGGAGCAGGAACUAAAUCAAACCUAUGUCAAAUCAUUGCGUAUCGGUAACAAUAUGAUCAUGGACUAUGAAAGUGGUUUCUUUAUUCACCCAAACAAGCAGAUCGAUUAUGUCUGUCAAGAAUUGGCCAAAGAUGAAAAGUUGAAAGACGGCUAUAAUGCAAUUGGCUUCAGCCAGGGCGGACAAUUUUUACGUGCAUUGGCGCAACGUUGUCCUCUGCCACCCAUGAAAGUCCUAAUCUCAAUGGGUGGUCAACAUCAAGGCGUUUUUGGUUUACCCAAAUGUCCUUCGCUUUCAUCGAAAACCUGCGAAUAUAUACGCCGUAUAUUGAACACUGCAGCCUAUGAAGAAUGGGCCCAAAUGGAUUUGGUACAGGCGACCUAUUGGCAUAAUCCCCUCAAGGAACGAGACUAUAUAGCUCAUAGUACUUUUUUGGCUGAUAUCAAUAAUGAGGUCUUCACCAAUGGUUUAUAUGCCGAACACUUGAAUCGUUUGGACAAGUUUGUUAUGGUCAAAUUCUUGAAUGAUACUAUUGUCCAGCCCAAGGAAUCUCAGUGGUUUGAAUUUUAUAAACCAGGGCAGGAUAAGGAAAUUCUGCCCUUGAAAGAGAGUAAAGUUUAUGAACAGCUCGGUCUUAAGCAAAUGGAUAUAAACCAGAAACUGGUCUUCUUGGCCACCGAAGGCGAUCAUUUGCAGUUCGAUAGAAAAUGGUUUUUGGAGAAUAUAAUACCAUUGUUGAGUCAAGAGAGGAAAUAGGGGUGGCAGUCUCUAAGAAGUGGAAUAAGAAACUUCAAACCAAAUAAUAUAUUUAUUUCAAGGACCAUCAGACCAAUAAACUUGGAUUUUUAAAGAAUUUUUUCCAAAGACCAUAUGACCAAUAGUUGGGGAUUUUUUAAAGAAUUUUUGUCGAAGAACAUUUGACAAAUAAACGUGGAUUUUUAAAGAAUUUUUGUCGAAGGCCAUUUGGCCAAUAAACGUCGAUUUUUUAAAGAAUUUUUGUCGAAGACCAUUUGACCAAUAAUCGUAGAUUUUUUAAAGAAUUUUUUCCAAAGACCAUCUGACCAAUAAUUGGGGAUUUUUUAAAGAAUUUUUUUCAAAGGCCGUCUGACCAAUAAACGUGGAUUUUUUUAAAGAAUUUUUUCCAAAGACCAUCUGACCAAUAAAAGUGUAUUUUUUAAAGAAUUUUUUCCAAAGACCAUAUGACCAAUAGUUGGGGAUUUUUUAAAGAAUUUUUGUCGAAGAACAUUUGACCAAUAAACGUGGAUUUUUUAAAGAAUAUUUUCCAAAGACCAUCUGAUCAAUAAACGUAAAUUUUUUGAAGAAUUUUUUCCAAAGCCCAUCUGACCAAUAAACGGGGGUUUUUUAAAGAUUUUGUUUCAAGGACUAUCUGACCAACAAACGUAGAUUUUUUAAAGAUUUUGUUUCAAUGACCAUCUGACCAAUAAACGUGGAUUUUUUAAAGAAUUUUUUCCAAAGACCAUCUGACCAAUAAACGUGGAUUUUUUAAAGAAUUUUUUCCAAAGACCAUCUGACCAACAAACGUGGAUUUUUUAAAGAAUUUUUCCCCAUAGACCAUCUGACCUAUAAACGUUGAUUUUUAAAGAAUUUUUUCCAAAGACCUUCUGACCAAUAAACGUCGAUCUUUUAAAUAUUUUUUUUUCCAAAGACCAUUUCACCAUUAAACGUUGAUUUUUUAAAGAAUUUUUUUCCAAAGAUCAUCUGAUCAAUAAAUGUGGAUUUUUUAAAGAAUUUUUUCCAAAGACCACCUGACCAAUAAACGUGGAUUUUUUGAAGAAUUUUAUCUAUAGACAAUCUGAACAAUAAAUGUGGAUUUUUUAAGACUU